rnacentral:lncRNA from 1 species
CGAAAGGAGCAGGACUGCGAGCGCACGCAGCAAGCCAGCAUGCUGGCCGACGUGGCCCAGGCUUUUGAGAGUGAUGAGAGCGUGUCUGACGACGAGGGCGACAGGGUCACCCUCUUCAGCUCAGCCACUCAGCUGUCGCCCAGCAGGCAGGCCAAUGCCAAGACUCUGACCGUGAUGAUGCAGGAGCAGCUGGACAUCAUCAAUGAAGAGAUCCGGUUGAUCGAAGAAGAGAAGGAGAACACGGAGCAGCGGGCCGAGGAGACUGAGAGCAGGGAGGGCAGGGGGAGCUUAGGCAGCCUCCGUCGUUUUAAAUCAGUGAGCUCCCUCAACCUGCUUUCCACCUCCUCGCAUGCUGACUCCUGCCCGCCCCUGCCCAAGCCCAGAAGGAGGCAGCACAGCCUGGUGCAGGAGGGAGACCAGCUGGGCAUCAUGACUCUGGGUGAUACAAGAUCAUCUCUUAGUGAAGACCUGGGGGCGCCUUAUGGAAUCCACUGUGAGCGAAUGACACUCGAACUGCGUCUGCCAGCUAUACGGGAAGAGGUAGGAGAUGACAAGACCGCCAUCAAAUGUGAAACCUCGACCCUUGCCCGGCCGCAGUCCCUUCGGCUGGGCCGCCUGCGCACGGGGGCGCUGCGCACAGCCACCCAUGAGGACCUCAGGGACGCCCACA